UGUGAAUCAGUCUGAUUUAAACUAAAAGACGGAAAACAGAUGUUUUCUCAUGCUGAGAGAAAAGCAGAUGUAUGUGUGUAAGAAAAUAUCAUACAUGGUGUUUAAAAAAAAAAAUUACAGCGUAUAAGAAAAGUUCCUAUUCUCUGUUUUUAUUUGAGCUCCAUGAGAUGAAGCAUCGUAACAUUCUCUUGCAGUCACGGCUGAAGGCCGUUGUUAGGCACGACACGGAGCUGAGUUAUUCACAAUACAGCACGGCCUCUUGUACAUUAUUACUUACUCAUAAACACAUAUUCUACAUGACCAUAUUCAGACAUAAAAUGCAAGUGAUUAUGUUGGGUGUCGCUAUGUCAGAGCUACGUUAUCUGGAAAGAUAAACUGCUGCUACUUUGAAACAAAUAAGGAGAAGGACCUUAUUAUGCAUCAAACAAAUAUAUGAAAGAUUAUUUGUUAACUGCAAUCAGCUAUAUAACAUCUAAUGUAAAUUAGACAAUCAUAUGCUGAUGAUGUACAACAAUGCCAAGGUCUCUGGAAGAGGUUUGGAUAAGUGAUAGUUAAAUUGUGUUGAGUGAGCAGUCCAGUAGUGGUGACUUCAUCCACUGGUUUUGCUGUGGGGAAAGGAGCAGGAAUCUGUUUUGACAGCCUUGAACACGAAGCACUGUAGGAUGCUGAUCUCCUGGAGCACCAAAGGGUCCUAAGAUCUGGAACACGCAGAUGUGCCCUGGAGUAGGUGCAGAAGGUUCUUAGCCUGGGACACACAAGCUUAAGAACCUUGAAGUAAAGGUUUGCUUGCUGGAGCUUAACCUUGUUGCAGAUGUCUGUGUGUCUUCUGCCUGUGAUUGGCUGUUUCCAUCAGAGUGGGAGGACACAGUGUGGCCCACCCUUCUUUCCUCCUGGGGAACUUAUUUGCAUAGUCCAAACACACAUUUAGAAAAGUGUCACUGAAGUUUUACCAAUGCAUUAUUCACUUAUCAAACCACAACCAGAAUACAUUUGGCAAUGUUACAAACACAUUAAGUCCAAACAUGAUGGAAAAAUAUUGAACUGUCAUGCAUGCAUUAAUUUGUUC
ensembl:lncRNA